rnacentral:tRNA from 1 species
UUUAUAUUGGCAGAUUAGUGCAUUGAAUUUAGAAUUCAAAUAAAUAAUUUUUAUUAUAUAUAAUA